UGAUUGAUGGUGCUUGCACCUGAUUGAUUUUGGUCGCCAACGAGUGGCGGACGGGUGAGUAACACGUAGGUAACCUGCCCAGAAGCGGGGGACAACAUUUGGAAACAGAUGCUAAUACCGCAUAACARCGUUGUUCGCAUGAACAACGCUUAAAAGAUGGCUUCUCGCUAUCACUUCUGGAUGGACCUGCGGUGCAUUAGCUUGUUGGUGGGGUAACGGCCUACCAAGGCGAUGAUGCAUAGCCGAGUUGAGAGACUGAUCGGCCACAAUGGGACUGAGACACGGCCCAUACUCCUACGGGAGGCAGCAGUAGGGAAUCUUCCACAAUGGGCGCAAGCCUGAUGGAGCAACACCGCGUGAGUGAAGAAGGGUUUCGGCUCGUAAAGCUCUGUUGUUAAAGAAGAACACGUAUGAGAGUAACUGUUCAURCGUUGACGGUAUUUAACCAGAAAGUCACGGCUAACUACGUGCCAGCAGCCGCGGUAAUACGUAGGUGGCAAGCGUUAUCCGGAUUUAUUGGGCGUAAAGAGAGUGCAGGCGGUUUUCUAAGUCUGAUGUGAAAGCCUUCGGCUUAACCGGAGAAGUGCAUCGGAAACUGGAUAACUUGAGUGCAGAAGAGGGUAGUGGAACUCCAUGUGUAGCGGUGGAAUGCGUAGAUAUAUGGAAGAACACCAGUGGCGAAGGCGGCUACCUGGUCUGCAACUGACGCUGAGACUCGAAAGCAUGGGUAGCGAACAGGAUUAGAUACCCUGGUAGUCCAUGCCGUAAACGAUGAGUGCUAGGUGUUGGAGGGUUUCCGCCCUUCAGUGCCGGAGCUAACGCAUUAAGCACUCCGCCUGGGGAGUACGACCGCAAGGUUGAAACUCAAAGGAAUUGACGGGGGCCCGCACAAGCGGUGGA
rnacentral:rRNA from 1 species